rnacentral:rRNA from 1 species
UCCGUAGGGUGCAAGCGUUGUCCGGAAUUAUUGGGCGUAAAGAGCUCGUAGGCGGUUUGUCGCGUCGAAUGUGAAAACCCGGGGCUCAACCCCGGGCCUGCAUUCGAUACGGGCAGACUAGAGUUCGGUAGGGGAGUCUGGAAUUCCUGGUGUAGCGGUGAAAUGCGCAGAUAUCAGGAGGAACACCGGUGGCGAAGGCGGGACUCUGGGCCGAUACUGACGCUGAGGAGCGAAAGCGUGGGGAGCGAACAGG